rnacentral:rRNA from 1 species
ACCAGACUCCUACGGGAGGCAGCAGUGGGGAAUAUUGCACAAUGGGGGAAACCCUGAUGCAGCGACGCCGCGUGAGUGAAGAAGUAUUUCGGUAUGUAAAGCUCUAUCAGCAGGGAAGAAAGAGACGAAAGUCUUGUGACAGUACCUGACUAAGAAGCCCCGGCUAACUACGUGCCAGCAGCCGCGGUAAUACGUAGGGGGCAAGCGUUAUCCGGAUUUACUGGGUGUAAAGGGAGCGUAGGCGGUUAGAUAAGUCUGAUGUGAAAGCCCACAGCUUAACUGUGGGAUUGCAUUGGAAACUAUAGAACUAGAGUGUCGGAGAGGUAAGUGGAAUUCCUAGUGUAGCGGUGAAAUGCGUAGAUAUUAGGAGGAACACCAGUGGCGAAGGCGGCUUGCUGGACAGAGACUGACGUUGAGGCUCGAAAGCGUGGGGAGCAAACAGGAUUAGAUACCCCGGUAAC